GCUAGAUUUAUUCCAGUUUUU
ensembl:piRNA 21ur-3838 ncRNA